AUCAGUAGUUUAAAAAAAACAUUAAACCUCGAACUUAAAAAUAUAGAAAAACACCUAUCCGAUAAU
rnacentral:tRNA from 1 species